rnacentral:rRNA from 1 species
GUCACUCUAAUUUUAUGGAGAGCAAACCCGGAGAACUGAAACAUCUAAGUACCCUGAGGAAAAGAAAUCGAAGAGAUUCCGUAAGUAGCGGCGAGCGAAAGCGGAUUAGCCCAAAAGUUAAUAUAUGUUUAAUAGAAUGUUCUGGAAAGAACAGCCAUAGAGGGUGAUAGCCCCGUACAUGAAAGGCAUACAUAGAUGAUAAAUGAGUAGGGCGGGACACGUGAAAUCCUGUCUGAAUAUGGGGGGACCAUCCUCCAAGGCUAAAUAAACMGGAAAGACCGGAAGCGUGCAAAUACAGUGAWGGRAA